AGGUCCAAUCUAAUUCUGCAUCGUGGUUUAAUUAUGUAGUCUCGCUUUUGGACCAGAUUAAUUCAAAUCCUUUAUUAUCCUUGUGCUUGUAAUAUUACUUAGUUCAAUGCACACGCGAAACGUAAAUGAACACUA
rnacentral:snoRNA from 1 species